rnacentral:lncRNA from 1 species
GUUUUACUCUACGCCGUGCCAGAUCUGCAGCUAGCCCGCGAGCCGGUCCCGCUCCGCAGAGCCGUGCCGAUUUACGCCGCUGCGAGGCCUGGCACGGUGGCUUCGCUGGAGCAGGAAACAUCAGAAAUGCAAAGGGUCAGUGAAGGAAUAGGAGGAUAAGGAGAAAAGCAGACUGUCUCAAGGAAAGAUGUGCUUCUUGCAUGAAUAACUUCCUAACAAUCUGCUGAAGGAGUGAUUUUGUAUCAGCCUGAAACCCCAAACCAGCAUCAUUUUAAUUUGCCAAGCACCUGUGAAAGAAUGCAGCUGCAAGACCAUGGGAAAACAAUGGGAACUCUGACAGUUCAUUAAUAUAAACCAGCAACUAGAUUUAUUUGGAAAAGUCAUUGAUACAGAAUUACACUGGAGGACACAGUGGCAUUCCUGAAGUACGCCAGCAAGCAGCUAACUAAGAUUAUAGAUGUGUGUACAUCAUUUGAACUUCAAUGGUUAUUUGUUUGUUCUGKUWUUUUUUCUGGUGAAGCAAGAGUUUGGAAGAURCGAGCCCUAUUUAAAAUCGUGAUAUGCACAGAUGGGAACCCAAGAACAUCUUCAUGCAAAAAACUGUUCUCGGAUGCGUUUUGAUGUAAGUGGAUACGUCCCUGUCCUAGGCGCAACAUCUUGAUUUUGGUCCACGAGGUGCUCGGAGGGCGCAGCCACGGCAGAUGCCAUCGCCGACCUGCGGCCGCGGGGACACGAGAUGAGGUGGAACAUGGAGAUCUGGAUUGCUUCAGAAGAGCCAAGAUUUUCUGUUUCCUGGGUAAAAGCUCUAGUGGUCUCAAGAACUGCUCUAGCAGAGGRGACCAGGCUGCCGAGUUGGCUCUCACGCAGAAGACAUGAUGCUAGCAGCGUUUGUGAGGUUUCUUCAGAUCCACAUCCUCAGGAGACAACGCGGACAUCUUGUGCUGCUCCAGGAGAAUUUUCUGGACAGUUCUGAAGACACAURUGAAAUUAUAGUUCAGCCUGUGUGCACUGGGGCUGCUCUGUGGUGGGGAGAAGCAGGACCUAWGGCUCCAGAGAUGGCCAGGCUGGUUGGACCUGGGUAGGGGCUGGUGCCCAGGGAGGCUGCUCAAGGCAGCUAAGACCCAUCAGUGCCCGCCCUCAGCUGCUGUCAUGUCUGUUCUCCAGUACUACUUACUUUCAUCCUUAAUGCAYAAAAAAUACGUGUUAUGUGUUCAGUUCUUUGUGAAUGACAUCAUAACCUGCCUAAAUCUCAAGGUUUUCACCAAGAUCCAACUUCCCAAAGUCCUUAGGGAUUUAAGAUCUUGGUUUAGGCCACUACUAAGUAGGACAGCCUGCUGAAAUCCAGACUUCAGUGUCACGUCCCUGUAAAGCAGGAACAAAGCAGUAGGGAGUGAGGAUACCAGAUCUGAAAUGCUGACUUAGACUAAUAUCUCUUUUCUUCCUUUGCGCCAUUUAUGUGAUUAUUUUUGUGAUUCAUGUGUUCGAAAAUCCCUGGGAAAAAAUAAUCUUUUUUCAUUUUUGCUUUGCAAGUCACUUUGUAAAGAACCACUUUGGUGUCUUUAGAGGGCUUUAAGCCCACCUGUUUCCUCUGUAAAGCWCAGAUGAGGAAACACGAGCGAAAGGCUAGCCCGGCAUCGACCGUAGAAUUCAGGAACCUUAAGUGAAACUAAAUAUAUUGGUCCCACAUCUGGGAAGAGUUUUUUAAGAAGGAUUUUCGCUAUCAAAGUAGAAGAUUUAUUUCACUUAUAAAAGGACAGACGGAMCCUGAAGAAAGUAACAUUCCUCUUGUUCUGGCGGCAGCGGAAACCCUGCGACUACCCGUGYUGGGGAAGUCGGCGUUUCUGAACUCUGCCUCCGUGCACAUUAAAAUCAAGAUGUCAGCAGUACUUGAGGGAAGGAGUUACUCCAAAAAACAAGGGACCAAACCCGAGAGGCGAAUCCAGUGACGGGACUCUUGCAUUGCUGCCUGCUCC